GGAUGAUGUUUUUCGAAAAAAUGUAAUUUCGAAUAUUAAUUGGUUGACUUGAAAAAUUAACGACGGAGCCAGGAAUCGAACCUGGUAUCUAGAGAUGCUUUGCCGGAGACUUACUCCACUAGACCACCUAGCCGCCCUGACCCCCGUGUCAUUAAUUU